UACGUAGGGGGCGAGCGUUGUCCGGAGUUACUGGGCGUAAAGCGCACGCAGGCGGUCUGCUAAGUUUGGAGUGACAGUUGGUGGCUCAACCACCAAAGUGCUUUGAAAACUGACAGACUUGAGGGCUUCAGAGGGACACGGAAUUCCGGGUGGAGUGGUGAAAUGCGUAGAGAUCCGGAGGAACACCAAAGGCGAAGGCAGUGUCCUGGGGAGUACCUGACGCUCAGGUGCGAAAGCUAGGGGAGCAAACGGG
rnacentral:rRNA from 1 species